CGGGCCAUCGUCCAACGGACAGGGCGCAGUCCUCCGAAGGCUGAGAUUCCGGUUCAAGUCCGGAUGGCUCGACCA
rnacentral:tRNA from 1 species